rnacentral:rRNA from 1 species
AUACGGAGGAUCCGAGCGUUAUCCGGAUUUAUUGGGUUUAAAGGGUGCGCAGGCGGGAUGUUAAGUCGGCGGUGAAAUUUUGCGGCUCAACCGUAAAAGUGCCUUCGAUACUGGCGUCCUUGAGUAUGGAUGAAGUAGGCGGAAUUUGUGGUGUAGCGGUGAAAUGCUUAGAUAUCACGAGGAACUCCGAUUGCGCAGGCAGCUUGCUAAGCCAUAACUGACGCUCAUGCACGAAGGCGUGGGGAUCAAACAGGAUUAGAUACCCUGGUAGUCCACGCAGUAAACGAUGAUUACUGGUUGUUUGCGAUAGAAUGUAAGCGACUGAGCGAAAGCGUUAAGUAAUCCACCUGGGGAGUACGUUCGCAAGACUGAAACUUAAAGGAAUUGACGGGG